AGGACUAACGCUGGCGGCGUGCCUAACACAUGCAAGUCGAACGAAGUAGCAAUACUUAGUGGCAGACGGGUGAGUAACACGUAGUCAACCUGCCCUUCAAUGGGGGAUAACUAGCCGAAAGGUUAGCUAAUACCGCAUACGAUCUCUGAGUGGCAUCACUCGGCGAUGAAAGGAGUAAUCCGUUGAAGGAGGGGACUGCGUCCCAUUAGUUAGUUGGUGGGGUAAUGGCCUACCAAGACUCCGAUGGGUAGCUGGCUUGAGAGAGCGACCAGCCACACUGGAACUGAGACACGGUCCAGACUCCUACGGGAGGCAGCAGUGAGGAAUUUUCCGCAAUGGGGGAAACCCUGACGGAGCGACGCCGCGUGUGGGAAGAAGGCCUUCGGGUCGUAAACCACUGUCGAGGGGACGAUAUUGACGGUACCCCUGGAGGAAGCCCCGGCUAACUACGUGCCAGCAGCCGC
rnacentral:rRNA from 1 species